CCAUUCAUCUUUUAGAUCGUUUAAAAAUAUUAUAAUAUAACUGAGUGAAGAUAUAUCCGAUGGAAAGCAUACAAUCGAUAAUCAUGGAGAUCAAUAAAUUGAUAAACGAUAAUAUAUUGAAAGGCAAAGAUGAACCUUUAUCCACUGAAUAUACGAACGUCGGAAAAUUAUUCUUGGAUAAAAUGAAGGUCAGAUCCGACUUUGUAAGAAUCUUAAAAAGCUAAAAUCAAAUAAAGUGUCAAAACAUCGCAUACACACAGACACACGUACAAAUAUACACGCACGCACACUAUUUCAGUAAUGUGCAAUUAGUUUUACGAAAUAUAACAAAGGACAAUAAAUAAUUUAUAAUGAAUGAGAAAAUUCGUGACAAAAUUGUGUAUAUUCAAUAUCGUUAUUGAAAAAUGUUACUGGAGUGAAAUGCAACAAUUCACAUUUUUGCACGUGUCAUUUACAAAGACGUAGAAUAUACUUCUUAAUAAUUUCUUUUUUAUCGCCAUAUCAAUAAGCAAAUAUCGAAAAGGUCUUAUUAACAAUAAUUUUUUCUACAUCGUUCAUUAAUGAAAUCAAUAAGUCAUUCAUAAUAACAGAUAGACGUUAUCACCGAAGAGACAUAUACUUUUGCCGAAAUGUUUGAUCUGACUGUAAAAUGUGCGCUUUGGUUAGGUCAACAAAGAAUCAAGGCUAAUGAUGUAGUUGAAGAUUAUAGGAUAUCAAUGGAUAUUUCAAGGCUAGGCGAUAUAGACAAUCGUUAGCUCAUCGUAGAAGCCUAGGCUUCUACUUUUACUGUUUAUUUAUUGGCCGGGUUGACAUAUAUUAUCGAAACCCAAAUAUUUUACUAAGAAUGCCUAAGCCCAGGCAAAGGUGGCCAUGUGUUUUUUAUCUAUGCGUUUGUGUUUAGCUAAUAGUCAAUAGGUUCCCAAGGAUAACUGUUUCUAAUGGUGUUAUAUGAUCCUUAAGAGAAAGUACCGGGAACAAUGGAGAGACAGACGCACGUGUGCGUCAACAAGGAGAUUUAUAGUUCUUAAAGUAAAAAUGAAGAAAAUAUCGAAAUUGCUAUAGAAAACUGUUUGAUGAAAAAUAAAAAAAGAAUCUGAUCGCAGAAGAGCAUCAAUUUAUAAUAUUUUCAUAUUAUAUAUUAUCAGGAGCAAUAGGACCGAUGCCGUAUCUAGCACGGAUCAUUGCAACCGGACGCAAUCCAAAUGUCUCCUCGAGAAUUCGUCAUCAUGCUCGUAAAGCCAACGAGCAGACUCUGUAUCCUAAACGGCAUGGAGCCAGAUAUAAAAAUACAUAUAUAUUCUCUCUUAUUAAUCAUGACGUUGAGAUAAAGAUGAAUUGGCAGGA